rnacentral:rRNA from 1 species
AGAAUCAACGCUGGCGGCGUGCCUAACACAUGCAAGUCGAACGAGAAAGUGGAGCAAUCCAUGAGUAAAGUGGCGCACGGGUGAGUAACACGUGACUAACCUACCCUUGAGUGGGGAAUAACUUCGGGAAACCGAGGCUAAUACCGCAUAACACCUACGGGUCAAAGGAGCAAUUCGCUUAAGGAGGGGGUCGCGGCAGAUUAGUUAGUUGGCGGGGUAAUGGCCCACCAAGACGGUGAUCUGUAUCCGGCCUGAGAGGGCGCACGGACACACUGGAACUGAAACACGGUCCAGACUCCUACGGGAGGCAGCAGUGGGGAAUUUGCGCAAUGGGGGAAACCCUGACGCAGCAACGCCGCGUGGAGGAUGAAGUCCCUUGGGACGUAAACUCCUUUCGAUCGGGACGAUUAUGACGGUACCGAAGAAGAAGCCCCGGCUAACUUCGUGCCAGCCAGCCGC